GCGGCGGCGUGGUGGCGCUGUGCCGGCAUGGCGGCGCUUCUAGCAGGAACAUGGACAGCGCAGGCAGCCGGACGUGCUCCAAAUCGUCAAUCCCCACCCAUGUACCGUCCUGCAGAUUCAGAUAAGAAAAGAGAGGCAGAUUAGCACUCUGCCAGCUUCUGGGAGUUGGCAAGCUGGGACAUGGGAAACCAACAGGGAAGGCAACACAGUCCAGCCGUGGCCAUGAUGCACCUCCUUGGAAAAACUCCAAAUACGUUUUUUCUUCAGGUUAUGUAGACCCUCACCUGUGCUUUUCACGGUGACGGUGCUGACUAUAUAUCACAUCUUCUGAAGUUUCUAGCUGUUUGUAUAUGGCCUCUGUCUGCCAACGACAAUGGUGACCAAUUUAGUAAUUGACCAAAGGUUGAGAUAUUGGUUCUACCAUUCAUCACUUUCAGGAGGAUAUUGUUGAUGAGGUUUAAAAGGCAGAGUGAGUGAGUGAAUGUGUGCUGUGUUUUUACAGUGACCAAAUUUUCUGCCUAUCCUAUGGUGACCGACCCAAUUCCAUAAAAAAUGGUAACUUCCAAUGAAAUGCCCAGCAUUCCAAUGCACAGGGAAGAUCCACCUCCUGCCACUCAAACACCUCCUGACUCCUAUUGUUGAAUCCUGCUCUAAGAUCGACCAUACAAUGACCCAACGGAUUCUUAUGGGAAGGACAUUAUGGAUGCAUGAAGAGACUUACGAGGAUUGCAGUUUGUUGAUGUGGAACAGCGAUAUGACCAUUACAUGCAGCAAGGAGCUUGUGCCACUUUCAAGCGCUGUGUUCAUUCCCUGGCAUUGCCCACUGUACUGUAUAUGCGAGCUGUGGCAUUUCCCAUAAAUAAACACGCAGAGCGAUGUUAAGGACAUGUUGGCUGAAGCUUCAAAACUAGGAGAGAGUGAACUACAGAGCAUAAAGAGGUCGUUCAGAGUGUUCCUAAUUUUCUAUGCUAUUCCAUAUCAAAGGUUGUAUAUUCCAGGUUGUGCUAGGAAUAAAAUUAUGAACAUAUGUUGUAGAUUCAUGGGAUUGUGACUGUUCAGUUAUGCAUAUCUGUAAUCCUUUAUGAUGGCUCCUGUAUAAGACAUUACAAAGUUCAGAUAUAGGUAUACUAAAAGAGAAUUUAUUCAUUCAAAUACAAUUAA